rnacentral:lncRNA from 1 species
AUGAGAUGUUGCUUCAGCUUAUUGAACAGCCAGAUUGCUGCUUCCUUUCCUGAACAUGAGAAAAAGAAUUCUGGUUUAAAACAUAACGUGCUGACAGCAGCUGAAAUCUCUCCAAUGACCUAUCUAGUCUGGACUAUCCGGUGUAUCUUCUGCAUAAUUAUCUAUACUGGGAUCUUCUGGGAACAGGUAUAGAGUUUGGUUAGCAAAGGACAAGUGUUUUUCUGCUCAAGUUACCAACCUGUACUAAAAUACAAACAGCUUGGAAAUUCACAAAUGAAACAUUUCCAAGUGCCGCAACAGAGGAUUGGGAGCUACCUUUUUAUAACAUUUGUUCACUAUAGUCUUGGGUAAGUUCCAGAAGUUUGUGAUCAAAGCAAUAAUGAUAUUAUUCCUCUAAGUAGUGAACAUAGUAAUAUCACAGAUGAUUAAUCCUGUAUGCUGAGGUACCAUAACAAUUAGAUUAGAUUAGAUUACUCCUAAUCAGUCCUAUCAAGGCUUUAGUGCUGCUCAAAACAGAAUAAGACCAGCUGAUCAUAUUACAUGUAUGAUAUUGUUCUUUGCAUAUAGUGGAGGUGAUCACUAUUAGAAAAUAGUCUCUGGCAGCAUGUUAUCCAUAAAGCAGGCUUAUAUGAAAACUCAGUGGGACUCUACAGUCAUAUUACUCCUCUCCUGGGCUCACUGAGUUGCUAUUUCUCAAGAAGCUCAGGCUCUUUUUUCUAUUCUGCUUGUUGCAUCAUGAAAAAUAUUUAGAGAGCAAGCUCAGGAGUACUAGAGAGGGGAAGAUGGAGAGCUAGGCACAGAUGGCAUUGAUAAUGAAGCAAAGCAGCUGUCAAUAUUAUUUCAUAAUGAGUUAUUAAUGAUUAGCACUCUAGCUUGAUAUGUUGACAGGACCAAGCUUGCUGUUAAGAGUGUGCUAUCUUGCUUGUCAAGAACAAUAUGGCUAAUAGAGAACAGGGACUAGCCUUCAAGAAUUUCUCAAUGCUAUUGGUUCCUGUUUGUUUCAGUAGGAGCUGUAGCCCUUUGCCACAAUGCCUUAUAUAACCAACUCCUAAAUAUUUGAAAAAUGGGAAGAGAAAGCAUACAGUAGAACAACGUCAUUCAGCUGUAAAGAAGUAACUUCAGAAGCAUUUUGAACCUUGCCCUUUACUCUUGCUGAGAUCAACAUGCAUUUGUAAAUACACUGCUUAUACAG